rnacentral:rRNA from 1 species
AUUGAACGCUGGCGGCAGGCCUAACACAUGCAAGUCGAGCGGAGCGGCGGACGGGUGCGUAAUGCCUAGGAAUCUGCCUGGUAGUGGGGGAUAACGUCCGGAAACGGGCGCUAAUACCGCAUACUAUCAGAUGAGCCUAGGUGGGAUUAGCUUGUUGGUGGGGUAAAGGCUUACCAAGGGGACGAUCCGUUCCUGGUCUGAGAGGAUAAUCAGUCAGACUGGAAGUGAGACACGGUCGAGACUCCUGCGGGAGGCAGCAGUGGGGAAUAUUGGACAAUGGGCGAAGGCCUGAGCCAGCCAAGACGCGUGUGUGAAGAAGGUCUUCGGAUUGUAAAGCUCUUUAAGUUGGGAGGCGUUACCAACAGAUUAAGCACCGGCUAACUUCGUGCCAGCAGCCGCGGUAAUAC